UUGAUCCUGGCUCACGAUGAACGCUGACGGUGCGCCUAAUACAUGCAAGUCAAACGGUCGCCUUUGGCGACAGUGGCAAACGGGUGAGUAACACAUGGGCAACUUACUUCAGAGUGGGGAAUAAUCUCGAGAAAUCGGGACUAAUACCGCAUAAGCUCACGUAGUGCAAUUCUAUGUGAGAAAAGAUUUAUCGCUUUGAAAGGGGCCUGUGGCUGAUUAGUUUGUUGGUGAGGUAACGGCUUACCAAGACGAUGAUCAGUAACUGGAUUGAGAGGUUGACCAGUCACACUGGGACUGCGACACGGCCCAGACUUCUACGGAAGGCAGCAGUAAGGAAUCUUCCGCAAUGGACGAAAGUCUGACGGAGCGACACCGCGUGAAGGAUGAAGGCCUUCGGGUUGUAAACUUCUUUUCUAUGUGACGAAAUUUUGACGGUAACAUAGGAAUAAGUAUCGGCUAACUACGUGCCAGCAGCCGCGGUAAUACGUAGGAUGCAAGCGUUAUCCGAAUUUACUGGGCUUAAAGCGUGUGUAGGUGGUUUGGUAAGUCUGUAAUGAAACACCACGGCUUAACCGUGGAAACGUUAUGGAUACUGCUUUACUAGAGAACAGACAGGGAAAGUAGAAUUCCCGGUGUAGGGGUAAGAUCCGUUGAUAUCGGGAGGAAUGCCAGAGGCGAAAGCAACUUUCUGGACUGUUUCUGACACUGAGACACGAAAGCUAAGGGAGCGAAAGGGAUUAGAUACCCCUGUAGUCUUAGCUGUAAACGAUGCAUGCUUGAGGUUGAGGGUGUCGACCCCUUCAGUCUCGCAGGGAAACCGGUAAGCAUGCCGCCUGGGGAGUACGACCGCAAGGUUAAAACUCAAAGGAAUAGACGGGGACCCGCACAAGCAGCGGAGCGUGUGGCUUAAUACGAUGCAACGCGUAGAACCUUACCAGGGCUUGACAUCCGACUAAAACUCUAGAGAUAGAGUGUGCUCCUUUGGAGCAAGUCGUGACAGGUGUUGCAUGGCUGUCGUCAGCUCGUGCCGUGAGGUGUAGGGUUAAGUCCCGUAACGAGCGCAACCCUCGUCGUGUGUUACAACUUUCACGCGAGACUGCCAGGGAUAACCUGGAGGAAGGCGAGGAUGAGGUCAAGUCAGUAUGGCCCUUAUGCCCUGGGCUGCACACACGCUACAAUGACAAGUACAACGGGUUUUUGCGAAACCGCGAGGUGAAGCUAAUCUCAUCAAAGCUUGUCUCAGUACGGAUUGAAGGCUGCAACUCGCCUUCAUGAAGUUGGAGUUGCUAGUAAACGCCGGUCAGCACACGGCGUUGAAUAUGUUCCCGGGUCUUGUACUCACCGCCCGUCACGCCAUGAGAGUUGGUAACACCAGAAAUCACUGUGCCAACCGUAAGGAGGCAAGUGCUUAAGGUGGGACCAAUGAUUGGGGCGAAGUCGUA
rnacentral:rRNA from 1 species